rnacentral:lncRNA from 1 species
UGAACUUUACAGACGCGUUAUCGACACAUGAGAAACCGUACUCGUUGACAGGGAGCACUGGGUGAGUUUUGGCCAAAGCCACUGCCGCACUCAGAACGCGGAUGUGUCCACACCCACUGGACCUUCACCCCUGCCCCAGCAUCUCCCUGGCUGUGACUUCCGCGGGUGUUUCCUGCUGGCCUUCUCCUUGGGCAGAGUCGACCCCUCCAGAGCGAUGCAGUACGACGCGCUUCGUAAGACUGCAGUUUAGAGAGAGUGUUGACGGUUUGGGGGUGCCGUUUUACUGACGACUGACUUUCUCACUGUGCUUUAAGUGUGAAUUACUUGAUCUCUUCUCUGUGUUCUGAAAUUGUUCUUUGCAAGAUGCGCAUUUCACUGUGUCUCCUGUCUGUGUUGACGUGGGUGUGUGCUCUGAUGUUCAAGUGGUGCAGUGAGAGCAGCCGUGGUGAGGUGCCGGCGACGUGGGCAGCCAGCCGAUUUGCACAGAUCACCAAGCCAGUGAAGAUUAAAAGCCGUGAAAAGCCACCCAAGAGAAAAGGCCAGGUAGGCAUCUUCAAUAGUAGACCAACAUACGAACGCGAUUCUGACAAGGAACUUCACAGGCACUCCCGCCUGGCGAAUGCUUACCCUUGCAGAGAUACGAGAAAACAGUGAGUGAACUUAGUGUCUGAUUUUUUCCUAAGAUUUUAUCAUGA